rfam:Xiphophorus maculatus strain JP 163 A Contig11.95, whole genome shotgun sequence.
UUUCCGCGGGGUGUCUGAUCUAACCCUAAAUGAGGGUCUCCUCCUGUACUAAGCGUUUGCUGUUUUCUUGUUCCUGGCUUUCAGUAGAUUACAGGAGGACGUUAGCAGGAGCGUUAACAGGGAAAAAAAGCUAGGAAGUCACCCCGACGUGCUCAGCUUCCUCCCUGAAACCCCGGCGACGUUUGCCGUGGUCAGCCCGGCUGCCGCGAAGAGUUAGCCUCUGCUGCUCCGUGGGUUUUUGUCAGUGGGGGAGUCUCUGUGUCUGAGCAGAUUAAAACUGAGUGAGGUGACCCUGCCGGACCUGCUGUGGUCCGGUGAGGAAACCUGUGCUCAAACAUUC